rnacentral:rRNA from 1 species
AGAGUUUGAUCAUGGCUCAGGAUGAACGCUAGCUACAGGCUUAACACAUGCAAGUCGAGGGGCAGCAUGACGGAAGCUUGCUUCUGUUGAUGGCGACCGGCGCACGGGUGAGUAACGCGUAUCCAACCUGGCCCUUAGUAGGGGAUAGCCCGGCGAAAGUCGGAUUAAUACCCUAUGUUUUCCAAUGAGGACAUCUGAGCUGGAACAAAGGUUUACCGCUAAGGGAUGGGGAUGCGUCUGAUUAGGUAGUAGGCGGGGUAACGGCCCACCUAGCCGACGAUCAGUAGGGGUUCUGAGAGGAAGGUCCCCCACAUUGGUACUGAGCCAGGAUCAAACUC